GACUAAUUGGCCACCUUAUCAUUAUAUAAUGACCAUCUUUGUCUCUUGUUACCAUUUUUGCCUUAAAGUCUAUGUUGUCUGGUAUAAGUAUAGCUACUCCUGCUCUCUUUUGUUUCCACUUACGUGGAAUAUCUUUUGCCAUCCCUUCACUUUGAGCCUAUGUGUGUCCUUAAAGCUGAAGUAAGCCUCUUGUAGGCAGCAUAUAGUUGGGUCUUGUUUUCUACCCAUCCAGCUACUCUCUGCCUUUUGAUUGGAGAAUUCAAUCCAUUAGCAUUUAGAGUAAUGAUCGAUUGGUAAGGACUUACUAAUGAGAUCUUUUAAAUUGUUUUCUGGCCAUUUUGUAGUUCUAUUUUUCUUUUAUUCCUUUCUUGCUGUCUUCCUUUGUAAAUUGAGGAAUUCCUUAGUGGUACGCUUUACGUUUACCUUCCUUAGUGGUACCCUUCCUCUUUACCUUUUGUGUAUGUACUGUACAUUUUUGCUUGGCGGUUCCCAUGUGGCUUACAUAGAACAUAUAUAUAACAGUCUAUCGUACACUGAUAAUUUCAUUUUGAUUACAUACAAAAACUCAAUCCUUCUUCUACGCCCUUUUAUAUUUUUAUGUCACCAUUUACAUCUUUUUAUAUUGUGUAACGAUUGACGUUAACAAAUUGUUGAAGCUAUAGCCAUUUUAAUACUUUUGUCCUUCAACCUUUAUAUAGAGUUAAGUAGUCAACACAUCACCAUAUUACAGUAUUCUGAAUCUAACCCUAUGCUUACUUUUACCAGUGUGUUGUAUAUUUUCACAUGUUUUCAUGUUACUAAUUAGCAUCCUUUUGUUUCAGCUUGAAGAACUCUUUUCAGCAUUUCUCGUAAGGCAGAUUUAGUGGUAAGGAAUCCCCUCAGCUUUUGUUUAUUAGGGAAAGUUUUUAUUUUGCCUUCAAUUCUAAAAGGCAGCUUUGCUGGGUAAAGUAUUCUUGACUGUCAGCUUCUUUCUUUCAGCGUCUUGAAUAUAUCAUCCCAUUCUCUCCUGGCCUGCAAGGUCUCUGCUGAGAUAUCCACUAAUAGCCUUAUAGAAGUUCCCUUGUACGAGUUUUUUUUUUUCUUUUGCUGCUUUUAGAAUUCUCUCUUUGGUUUUAGACAGUUUUUGUUGUUGUUGUUGUUGUUUUGUUUUGUUUUACAUCUCUUGGAGAAGAUUGUUUUGGGUUGAAAUUUUUAGGUGACCUAUUAGUUUCAUGAACUUGGAUAUCUUAAUCUCUUCCCAUGUUUGGGAAGCUCUCAGUCAUUAUUCUUUAAAUAAGCUUUCUUCUCCUUUUCCCCUCUCUUCUCCUUCUGGAACUCCAAUGACGUAUACAUUAUUUUUUAUGGUGCCCCAUAAUUCCCCUAGGCUUUCUUCAUCCUUUGCCAUUCUUUUUUCUUCUUGCUCAUUGAUUGGAUAAUUUCGAUUGGUCUAUCUUCGCACUCAUUGAUUCUCUCUUCUGUUUGCUAAAGUCUACUGUUGAAGCUCUCUGUUGAAUUCUUCAGUUCAGUUAUUGUAUUCUUCAGCUCCAAAAUUUCUGUUUGGUUCUUUUUAUUUUUUCUAUCUUUUUUAGAACUUCUCAUUUUGUUCUUGUAUUGUUUCCUGAUAGCAUUAAAUUGUUUAUCUGUGUUCUCGUGUAGCUCUCUGAGCAUAUGUAGAAUAAUUAUUUUGAAUUCUUUAUUGGGCAAUUCCUGGAUCUCCAUUUCUCUGGGGCCAGUUGCUGAAAUGUUACUGUAUUCCUUUGGUGGAGACAUGUUUCCCUGAUUCUUCAUGAUCCCUGUAGCCUUCAAUAGAUGUCAGCAUAUUUGAAGAAGCAGUCAUUUCUUCCAGACUUGAUGGACUGACUGCUGUAAGGGAAGCCUUUUACCUGCAGAAGGGGGCAUACUGGAUCAUGUUGUGACCCUGGGUCUACUGGUGCAGGGUGCCAAGUGUGGUCUGGAGAAGUGCAGUGUCUCUUCAGCUCAGGCCGCUGUGUGGUCCUUGCUCGUAGCCGGCUGUAUUGACAUUUCAGCUUUGCUGGUGGGGUGGGGUGAAACUGAAGCAGAACCUUCGUGAGGGGUCCCAGGAAGCUGAGGACGCUGUCACUCACCCCACUCUUAAGGAAGGGGGUUAAAAGAAGAGAGAAGAAUUAUUAGAGGUAUACACACAAUGGUACCAAGUGACAUCUGAGAACCUAAAGAAAGGACAAAGAAAGAAAUGCUACAAACAGACUCAAAAACUCAGAAGCGGGCUUCCCUGGUGGCCCAGUGGUUGAGAGUCCGCCUGCCGAUGCAGGGGACACGGGUUCGU